rnacentral:rRNA from 1 species
UACGUAGGUGGCAAGCGUUGUCCGGAUUUACUGGGCGUAAAGGAUGCGUAGGCGGAUGUUUAAGUGAGAUGUGAAAUACCCGAGCUCAACUUGGGUGCUGCAUUUCAAACUGGAUAUCUAGAGUGCAGGAGAGGAAAGCGGAAUUCCUAGUGUAGCGGUGAAAUGCGUAGAGAUUAGGAAGAACACCAGUGGCGAAGGCGGCUUUCUGGACUGUAACUGACGACUGAGGC